rnacentral:rRNA from 1 species
ACGGGCUUCGGUCUGGUGGCGAGUGGCGAACGGGUGAGUAAAGUAUCGGAACGUACCUUUCAGUGGGGGAUAACGUAGCGAAAGUUACGCUAAUACCGCAUAUUCUGUGAGCAGGAAAGCAGGGGAUCGCAAGACCUUGCGCUGAUUGAGCGGCCGAUAUCAGAUUAUCUAGUUGGUGGGGUAAAGGCCUACCAAGGCGACGAUCUGUAGCGGGUCUGAGAGGAUGAUCCGCCACACUGGAACUGACACACGGUCCAGACUCCUACGGGAGGCAGCAGUGGGGAAUUUUGGACAGUGGGGGCAACCCUGAUCCACCCAUGCCGCGUGAGUGAAGAACGCCUUCGGGUUGUAAAGCUCUUUCGGCCGGGAAGAAAUCGCAUGGGCUAAUACCCUGUGUGGAUGACGGUACCGGAAUAAGAAGCACCGGCUAACUACGUGCCAGCAGCCGCGGUAAUACGUAGGGUGCGAGCGUUAAUCGGAAUUACUGGGCGUAAAGCGUGCGCACGCGGUUUAGUAAGACAGGCGUGAAAUCCCCGGGCUCAACCUGAGAACUGCGCUUGUGACUGCUAAGCUAGAGUAC